UCUUCCUUAGUGUAGUGGUGAUCAUUUCCGCUUGUCAAUGACCUUCUCAGUCAACAAGCGCGGGAGACCGUAAGCAAUUUCUACUUCUCACCUCAUAACGAGACUAACUGGUUUAGGGGGUUCGAUUCCCCGAGGGAGAG